rnacentral:rRNA from 1 species
UACGGAGGGGGCAAGCGUUACUCGGAAUUAUUGGGCGUAAAGGGCGCGUAGGCGGUCUUGUGCGUCGGAGGUGAAAUCCCCGGGCUUAACCCGGGAGCUGCCUCCGAUACGGCAGGACUUGAGUCCGGGAGAGGAGAGCAGAAUUCCCAGUGUAGCGGUGAAAUGCGUAGAUAUUGGGAGGAAUACCAGUGGCGAAGGCGGCUCUCUGGACCGGUACUGACGCUGAGGCGCGAAAGCAUGGGGAGCAAACAGG